UACGUAGGGUGCAAGCGUUGUCCGGAAUUACUGGGCGUAAAGGGCUCGUAGGCGGCCAACUAAGUCAGACGUGAAAUCCCCAGGCUCAACCUGGGAACUGCGUCUGAUACUGGAUGGCUUGAAUUCGGGAGAGGGAUGCAGAAUUCCAGGUGUAGCGGUGAAAUGCGUAGAUAUCUGGAGGAACACCGGUGGCGAAGGCGGCAUCCUGGACCAACACUGACGCUGAGGAGCGAAAGCCAGGGGAGCAAACGGG
rnacentral:rRNA from 1 species